AGAGUUUGAUCCUGGCUCAGAACGAACGCUGGCGGCGGGUCUUAAACAUGCAAGUCGGACGGUGAAAAUGAGGCUUCGGCUGAAACACGAGUGGCGAACGGGUGAGUAACACGUAGAAAUCUGCCCUAAAGAGUGGGACAACUUCGGGAAACUGGGGCUAAUACCACAUAACCCCAUAGGGUUAAACCGAAUGGGUGAAGCAUGGAUACAUGCACUUUAGGAUGAGUCUGCGGUCUAUCAGCUAGUUGGUAAGGUAAGGGCUUACCAAGGCUUCGACGGAUAGCCGGCCUGAGAGGGUAAUCGGCCACACUGGAACUGAGACACGGUCCAGACUCCUACGGGAGGCAGCAGUUAAGAAUCUUGCGCAAUGGGCGAAAGCCUGACGCAGCCACGCCGCGUGAGCGAUGAAGGCCUUCGGGUUGUAAAGCUCAGUGAGAGGGGAAGAAUAAGUGUAAUCCAACAGGUUGCAUGAUGACGGUACCCUCCUGAAGCCCCGGCUAAUUACGUGCCAGCAGCCGCGGUAAUACGUAUGGGGCAAGCGUUGUUCGGAUUUAUUGGGCGUAAAGGGCACGCAGGCGGGUUAUUAAGUUGGAUGUAUAAUCUUCAGGCUCAACCUGAAAUCUGCAUUCAAACCUGGUAGCCUAGAGUACCAGAGGGGAGAGCGGAAUUCUCGGUGUAGCGGUGGAAUGCGUAGAUAUCGAGAGGAACACCAGUGGCGAAGGCGGCUCUCUGGCUGGAUACUGACGCUCAUGUGCGAAAGCGUGGGGAGCAAACAGGAUUAGAUACCCUGGUAGUCCACGCCCUAAACGUUGUGCACUAGAUGUUGGGGGUUUCAACGCCCUCAGUGUCACAGCUAACGCAUUAAGUGCACCGCCUGGGGAGUAUGCUCGCAAGGGUGAAACUCAAAGGAAUUGACGGGGGCCCGCACAAGCGGUGGAGCAUGUGGUUUAAUUCGACGAUACGCGAAAAACCUUACCCGGGUUUGACAUCACCUGGACAGGUGUAGAGAUACGCCCUCCUUUAUGGCCGGGUGACAGAUGUUGCAUGGUUGUCGUCAGCUCGUGUUGUGAAAUGUUGGGUUAAGUCCCGCAACGAGCGCAACCCUUACCUCUUGUUGCUACCAGGUAAAGCUGGGCACUCUAGAGGGACUGCCGGCGACAAGCCGGAGGAAGGUGAGGAUGACGUCAAAUCAGCAUGGCCCUUACGUCCGGGGCUACACACGUGCUACAAUGGCCGGUACAAAGGGCAGCAAAACCGCGAGGCGGAGCAAAUCCCAAAAAACCGGUCUCAGUUCAGAUUGUAGUCUGCAACUCGACUACAUGAAGUCGGAAUCGCUAGUAAUCGCGAAUCAGCAUUGUCGCGGUGAAUACGUUCCCGGGCCUUGUACACACCGCCCGUCACACCACCCGAGUUUGCGGUACCCGAAGUGGCUGCGCGAACCCGCAAGGGACGCAGGUUACGAAGGUAAAGUAGGCGAGGGGGGUGAAGUCGAAACAAGGUA
rnacentral:rRNA from 1 species